rnacentral:rRNA from 1 species
ACACUGGGACUGAGACACGGCCCAGACUCCUACGGGAGGCAGCAGUAGGGAAUCUUCCGCAAUGGACGAAAGUCUGACGGAGCAACGCCGCGUGAGUGAUGAAGGUUUUCGGAUCGUAAAGCUCUGUUGUUAGGGAAGAACAAGUGCGAGAGUAACUGCUCGCACCUUGACGGUACCUAACCAGAAAGCCACGGCUAACUACGUGCCAGCAGCCGCGGUAAUACGUAGGUGGCAAGCGUUGUCCGGAAUUAUUGGGCGUAAAGGGCUCGCAGGCGGUUUCUUAAGUCUGAUGUGAAAGCCCCCGGCUCAACCGGGGAGGGUCAUUGGAAACUGGGAAACUUGAGUGCAGAAGAGGAGAGUGGAAUUCCACGUGUAGCGGUGAAAUGCGUAGAGAUGUGGAGGAACACCAGUGGCGAAGGCGACUCUCUGGUCUGUAACUGACGCUGAGGAGCGAAAGCGUGGGGAGCGAACAGGAUUAGAUACCCUGGUAGUCCACGCCG